GACGUAGGGCGCGAGCGUUGUCCGGAUUUAUUGGGCGUAAAGAGCUCGUAGGCGGCUUGUUGCGUCGACCGUGAAAACCCGGGGCUCAACUUCGGGCUUGCGGUCGAUACGGGCGGGCUAGAGUUCGGUAGGGGAGACUGGAAUUCCUGGUGUAGCGGUGAAAUGCGCAGAUAUCAGGAGGAACACCGGUGGCGAAGGCGGGUCUCUGGGCCGAUACUGACGCUGAGGAGCGAAAGCGUGGGGAACGAACAGG
rnacentral:rRNA from 1 species